rfam:Ricinus communis cultivar Hale ctg_1100012355209, whole genome shotgun sequence.
AGUCCAUAGUGCGGGCAACAUCGAAGCAAGUCCUUGUACCUCUCCUAAGCAUUAUAUAUGCUCUCGUCAUCGAACUGCAUAAAAGAAGAUAUAUCAUUUCUCAAUCU